rnacentral:tRNA from 1 species
GACCAUGGCUCAGUGGUAGAGCAUCUACUUGCCAUGCAGAAAGUCCAAAGUUCAAUUCCCAGCAUGUCCC